AGGUUUUCUCAAGGGACUACAAUAUGCAGUUCUUCAAAAAAGGAGUGUACCUACAGCUUUUUAAAGGGUCGGCAACGCGCAUGUAACACCUCUGGAGUUGCAGGCGUCCAUAGGCUACGGUGACUGCUUACCAUCAGGCGGGUCGUAUGCUUGUUUGCCACCGAUGUGGUAUAAAAAAAAGUACAUUGAAAAAAAAA